GACCCCUUUAUUAGAAAAUUCCAAAUCAUUUUAUGUACCUUGAACUAUGUUCUGACCUAAUUCUCUCAACGAGAUACGUAGGAAACCUAUAUAAGGUCCUGUCUCAUCAUUACAAAGUAUAUAUACCUUCUGUACUACCAAAAGUGGGGCAGAUUUUGAAAAGUUGAAAAUGAGGAUGAUUGGAUAUUGUCAAGAUACAUUUGACUUGGACCAUCGGACAAGGAGUAAAAGAUAAAGGAUAUUCAUUUUGUUUCAAAAAUGUUACAGUCUAA
rnacentral:lncRNA from 1 species